rnacentral:rRNA from 1 species
UACGAAGGGGGCUAGCGUUGCUCGGAAUCACUGGGCGUAAAGCGCACGUAGGCGGUCUUUUAAGUCGGGGGUGAAAUCCUGGAGCUCAACUCCAGAACUGCCUUCGAUACUGGAAGACUUGAGUCCGGGAGAGGUGAGUGGAACUGCGAGUGUAGAGGUGAAAUUCGUAGAUAUUCGCAAGAACACCAGUGGCGAAGGCGGCUCACUGGCCCGGUACUGACGCUGAGGUGCGAAAGCCAGGGGAGCAAACAGG